rnacentral:rRNA from 1 species
AUUGAACGCUGGCGGCAGGCCUAACACAUGCAAGUCGAACGAGUGGCGGACGGGUGAGUAAUGUCUGGGAAACUGCCUGAUGGAGGGGGAUAACUACUGGAAACGGUAGCUAAUACCGCAUACCAUCGGAUGUGCCCAGAUGGGAUUAGCUAGUAGGUGGGGUAACGGCUCACCUAGGCGACGAUCCCUAGCUGGUCUGCGAGGAUGACCGGCCAAACGGGAAAGGAGAAACGGUCCAGACUCCUACGGGAGGCAGCAGUGGGGAAUAUUGGACAAUGGGCGCAAGCCUGAGGCAGCCAUGCCGCGUGGAUGAAGAAGGCCUUCGGGUUGUAAAGUACUUUCAGCGGGGAGGCGUUACCCGCAGAAGAAGCACCGGCUAACUCCGUGCCAGCCGCCGCGGUAAUUC